rnacentral:rRNA from 1 species
GACGAACGCUGGCGGCGUGCUUAACACAUGCAAGUCGAGCGAGGCCCCGACUUCGGUCGGGUGCCCUAGCGGCGAACGGGUGAGUAACACGUGGGCAACCUGCCCUCAGCUCCGGGAUAACUCCAAGAAAUUGGUGCUAAUACCGGAUGUGACCGCUGACCGCAUGGUCUGGCGGUGGAAAGAUUUUAUCGGCUGGGGAUGGGCCCGCGGCCUAGCAGCUUGUUGGUGGGGUAGUGGCCUACCAAGGCGACGACGGGUAGCCGGCCUGAGAGGGUGACCGGCCACACUGGGACUGAGACACGGCCCAGACUCCUACGGGAGGCAGCAGUGGGGAAUAUUGCGCAAUGGGCGCAAGCCUGAUGCAGCAACGCCGCGUGAGGGACGACGGCCUUCGGGUUGUAAACCUCUUUUAGUAGGGAAGAAGCGAAAGUGACGGUACCUGCAGAAAAAGCACCGACUAACUACGUGCCAGCCGCCGCAGUAAGAC